rnacentral:rRNA from 1 species
AUUGUCAUCGAGUAGUGUUUAGUGGCGGACGGGUGAGUAACACGUUGGUACCUGCCCUUUAGUGGGGAAUAACUCGGCGAAAGUCGGGCUAAUACCGCAUGUGAUCCUUCGGGAUUAAAGCCUUCGGGCGCUAAAGGAGGGGCCUGCGUCUGAUUAGCUUGUUGGUAAGGUAAUGGCUUACCAAGGCGAUGAUCAGUAGCUGGUUCGAGAGGAUGAUCAGCCACACUGGAACUGAGAUACGGUCCAGACUCCUACGGGAGGCAGCAGUAAGGAAUCUUCCGCAAUGGACGAAGCCUGACGGAGCAACGCCGCGUGCAGGAUGAGGGCUUUCGGGUCGUAAACUGUCUUUGUAUGGGAGAUUAUGACGGUACCAUACGAAUAAGGACCGGCUAACUACGUG